CUAACAGCGCCACUCCCUAUGGCCGAGCGUCUACAGCGGCCAUGCCUAUUCAAACCACCACAGCGACCAUCAUUGCAUGCUGUGUUCUGGUUCCAAACCUGCCUUCUCUACUAACAGACCAGGGCGCCCACACUCACUGUAUAGAACUUCCUAGAAAGAACCCAGCAUGCCUUAUGCCACAAAGGGAGAUCUGUCCGUCUGUCCCUGCAAUGCUCGGAAAACACCCCCCAGAAUGAACCAAGAAAGCACUGCUGUUGGCUAUCCGUUGAUGUUGGUGGCUUCCAGGGCUGUGCGUAUCUGAGGCUGCCCUGGUCACUUUUGGAACCUGGAACCUCACCAAAAGGAGCAGAGGCAAAUGGUGCUGUAAACAUGGGGUGUGAAGGCCUACCCUCUGGGAGAUGACCACACAUGGAAAUGGCUACUGGAGAGGCCAGCCCCUCUCAUCAGAGCGACCCCCACAGCACCUCCACUGAGCCUUCUCUGCGCUGGGCUGGAAGUUGGGGUGACAAGUGAACCAGACAGCAUUGUUGAGCUCAUCUUGUAACACCACCGCCAUUGAGAGAAACUCGCCCAAGAACUGCUCAUGGGGUUCCUGAAGCAGCUUGCUGCUUCCUCUUCCUCACUUCAGGCAGGCUGGUGAGCCUGGUGGUUUCUUCAGGAUUGAAAUAAAGAUGUUGGUUCUGUGUGGCGUCUGCCUGCCUAGAGGAUUGGACUGAAGCUGCUGGGUGGUAUUUGGUGUUUGCUACAGGACCAAACUGCUGCCGAGGAGGAUCAAGCUCACCCCCAAAGAGCUAUGCUCAACAGGUCUGCUUCCCCCAUCCUAAUAACUUUUCUCUUCCACUGCCUCUCCUGGGGGGUUGGUUAAAG
rnacentral:lncRNA from 1 species